UACGGGGGGGGCAAGCGUUGUUCGGAAUUACUGGGCGUAAAGGGCUCGUAGGUGGCCAACUAAGUCAGACGUGAAAUCCCUCGGCUUAACCGGGGAACUGCGUCUGAUACUGGAUGGCUUGAGUUCGGGAGAGGGAUGCGGAAUUCCAGGUGUAGCGGUGAAAUGCGUAGAGAUCGGGAGGAACACCUGUGGCGAAGGCGGCCACCUGGGCCGACCCUGACGCUGAGGCGCGAAGGCGUGGGGAGCGAACGGG
rnacentral:rRNA from 1 species